rnacentral:rRNA from 1 species
AGUGAACGCUGGCGGUAGGCCUAACACAUGCAAGUCGAACGGCAGCACAGUAAGAGCUUGCUCUUACGGGUGGCGAGUGGCGGACGGGUGAGGAAUACAUCGGAAUCUACUUUUUCGUGGGGGGUAACGUAGGGAAACUUACGCUAAUACCGCAUACGACCUACGGGUGAAAGCAGGGGAUCUUCGGACCUUGCGCGAUUGAAUGAGCCGAUGUCGGAUUAGCUAGUUGGCGGGGUAAAGGCCCACCGAGGCGACGAUCCGUAGCUGGUCUGAGAGGAUGAUCAGCCACACUGGAACUGAGACACGGUCCAGACUCCUACGGGAGGCAGCAGUGGGGAAUAUUGGACAAUGGGCGCAAGCCUGAUCCAGCCAUACCGCGUGGGUGAAGAAGGCCUUCGGGUUGUAAAGCCCUUUUGUUGGGAAAGAAAAGCAGCAGGUUAAUACCCCGCUGUUCUGACGGUACCCAAAGAAUAAGCACCGGCUAACUUCGUG